GGCCUGUUGAUGCCACUGCUGUUGAAGUCUAUGUGAAUGGUGCCCCCUGGUGGAAGGAAAAAGAGAAUGGGACGCCAGGAAUGUCAGAUGCUUUUCAGCCUCUCCCCUGCUCUCACGCCUAGAAACAAGAGCUCCACAAAGGUCUCUCAUUCCUCAAGGCUGAUGAAAAGCCCAGCAGCUAAAUGGCCAGAAGCCUGUCUUUGUGAGAAAGCAAGAAGUCUCUCGGUUUGAACUCUUCGGUCUAGAGACAGAUUCUUCUACCAGUGGUGUAAAACCCUAAAGAGGCUCUGCAUAAGACCUACCACUGCUCUGUGUCUCAUGACACCCUGCCCCCACCACUGGAAGGCCACACUUAUUCUUUGUGUUCAUGCUUCUCUAUGAUCUGCAAGUUUCCCAAGAACACCUGGAUUCGAAGCUCAAGUCCACCGCUAAAUAGCUAUGUGACCUAAUGUGUCAGAUGGUUAUAAGGAUUACAGAGAAAGAGGUAUAGAUAGAGCUGGUAGCAGUGACAGACACAUCUUUACAUCAUAUAAUUCUGACAUGCAUUAUUAUUGUAGUUUUCUGUUAUUCAGACAUACUUGUUAAGAAGGUGCUGGGGACAAUUUGUACAUGCUGGGUAUGAAAGGGCUUGGAAAGUAUUUCAUGAAUGGAGUUGGCAUUGAGGAGUCCAAUCCAUGUACAAUGGGUAGAAUUAGAAAGGCAUUGAGGAUAGUGUAUUAGUCUGUUUUCAAACUGCUGAUAAAAACAUACCUGAGAGUGGGUAAUUUAUAAAGAAAGAAGAGGUUUAAUGGACUCACAGUUC